rnacentral:rRNA from 1 species
UCACCGUCGCACGGGUGCGUAACGCGUAUGCAACCUACCUAUCACAGGGGGAUAGCCUUUGGAAACAGGGAUUAAUACCGCAUAAAGCAGGGGCUCCGCAUGGAGAUAUUGCUAAAGAUUUAUCGGUGAUAGAUGGGCAUGCGUCUGAUUAGUUAGAUGGUGGGGUAACGGCCUACCAUGGCGAUGAUCAGUAGGGGGCGUCAGAGCGUGGUCCCCCACACUGGCACUGAGAUACGGGCCAGACUCCUACGGGAGGCAGCAGUAGGGAAUAUUGGGCAAUGGAUGCAAGUCUGACCCAGCCAUGCCGCGUGAAGGAAGAAGGUCCUCUGGAUUGUAAACUUCUUUUGUCGGGGAAGAAGAGUCAUCUUGCGAGGUGAUGUGACGGUACCCGAUGAAUAAGCCACGGCUAACUACGUGCCAGCAGCCGCGGUAAUACGUAGGUGGCAAGCGUUGUCCGGAUUUAUUGGGUUUAAAGGGUGCGUAGGUGGUUUAAUAAGUCAGUGGUGAAAGCUGGUUGCUCAACAAUCAAGUUGCCAUUGAUACUGUUAGACUUGAGAGAAGUGGAGGCUGGUGGAAUGGAUGGUGUAGCGGUGAAAUGCAUAGAUAUCAUCCAGAACGUCAAUUGCGAAGGCAGCUGGCUGUACUUUUUCUGACACUGAGGCGCGAAAGUGUGGGGAUCAAACAGGAUUAGAUACCCUGGUAGUCCACACUGUAAACGAUGCGAACUAGCUUUUUGGCAGUAAUGU